rnacentral:rRNA from 1 species
GACGAACGCUGGCGGCGUGCCUAAUACAUGCAAGUCGAGCGGAAGUUGGAGAGCUUGCUCUUCAACUUUAGCGGCGGACGGGUGAGUAACACGUGGGCAACCUGCCCUGCAGAUCGGGAUAACUCCGGGAAACCGGUGCUAAUACCGAAUAGUUUUCGCCACCUCCUGGUGGCGUACGGAAAGACGGUUUCGGCUGUCACUGCAGGAUGGGCCCGCGGCGCAUUAACUAGUUGGUGGGGUAACGGCCCACCAAGGCGACGAUGCGUAGCCGACCUGAGAGGGUGAUCGGCCACACUGGGACUGAGACACGGCCCAGACUCCUACGGGAGGCAGCAGUAGGGAAUCUUCCGCAAUGGACGAAAGUCUGACGGAGCAACGCCGCGUGAGUGACGAAGGUUUUCGGAUCGUAAAACUCUGUUGUGAGGGAAGAACAAGUACCAACUAACUACUGGUACCUUGACGGUACCUCACCAGAAAGCCACGGCUAACUACGUGCCAGCCGCCGCCGUAAAAC